UACGAAGGGGGGCUAGCGUUGCUCGGAAUCACUGGGCGUAAAGCGCACGUAGGCGGCUUUUUUAAGUCAGGGGGUGAAAUCCUGGAGCUCAACUCCAGAACUGCCUUUGAUACUGAGAAGCUUGAGUCCGGGAGAGGUGAGUGGAACUGCGAGUGUAGAGGUGAAAUUCGUAGAUAUUCGCAAGAACACCAGUGGCGAAGGCGGCUCACUGGCCCGGUACUGACGCUGAGGUGCGAAAGCGUGGGGAGCGAACAGG
rnacentral:rRNA from 1 species